GUGCUUGCCUAGUAUGAAUGAGGCCCUGGGUGGAUCCCCAGCACGAAACAAAAUGAGACUAAACAAGACCAAAACAUGAGAUGAUGCCAUUGCUGUAGAAAGUAGUUUUGCCAUUAUAAAUAGGAAGCGGAACCCCCUCUUCUUGCAAGCAGACUCAGUCAGCAAAACCCAAAAGAAACAAGCCAGACAGUGCACAGGAAGACCACCCAGGGACAACUGCAGUCAUCAAACCAGAAGAGUCAAAAAGACGCUGAGGCACAGGAUCAGUUUUCUUUCUACCUUGGUGUAUUGGAGGACGAUUAAAGAGCAUCCUGAAAUGGUGAACACAGCUCCUGGGUGUGUGCAUGUCCAUGCCCAAAGAAAGAAGAAGAGAAGAAGAAGAAGAAAAGGCUGAAAAACUCAAAAUCCUUAAAUUCUUAUAGGAUUAUAACACUGCAUGAAGACAUAAAUUCCUAAGCAUAUUUCCAGAUGACAUUCCACUCUCCAUACAAUAAAGAUAAAUUCAUAA